rnacentral:lncRNA from 1 species
GCGGCGGCCGAGGCGGCAGCCGUGGCGGAUGCAGCACCCAAGGCGGCGGCGGCGGCAGCGGCUGAGGACGCGGCUGCGGCGACGCGGACCAAGCUUGCGCGGCUCGCCUUGUUUGUGGUGGGCUUCGCGUUCGCGCUCGGCGCGGUGUGGCUGGCCAGCGCGUUCAGGAUCGCCAGCGCCGUGGACCACUGCCUCGCGGUGAAGGUCCACUGGUUGGCCGACCCCAUGUGCCGCGACACGGUGGUGUUCGCGGCUCCCCUGGCCGUCGCCUCGCUGAUCCUCAUGGCCGCGGCCGUGCGCCGACAGGUCAAGGCCGAGGCGGAGCCCGGCGCCCAGAUCCGCGAGGCUGCGGGUGUAACCCACGACGUCCUCCCUGAUCCCGAGCUGCAGCCGCCAUUGCCGCCGCCGCCGCCGCAGCCGGCGGUUGCGCUGGCCUCUGGACUAGAGCGGCGCCUCCUCCUGUGUGGUUCAGAUGAAGUAGUCAUGCUCACCAUCAUCUCCAUUUACCUAUGCUGUGCCACCUUCAUUCUUGUGGGUAUACUGCUCCGAAUGUUUGGCGCUCUCUUCCUUGUGUACUACCCAGGUGAUGAGCUCGAGAUUGCUCUUCUCAUGGGGGUUGGUUCAGGAUUCAAGAACGUUGGCUACUUGUGGCUGGCUGUGGGGCAUUUCUUUCUCAUCAUUCCUUACGCCGUGCUCAGGCUGAGGAGGUUCCUCAACCAGUUCGUGUCGAUCUUCGUGAUGCACGUUGCCAACAGAGUAUUGGAUCAGCGGCAGUAUCGGAUCGCUGAUCCAAAUGCUGCCGCAUUCCAGUUUGUCAGGCUUCUGGUCAUUCUGAGUAGCUGCCGAUGCUGCCAUCGCCACUGCCACCUCCUCGCGGAUUCCCCCGCGUACUGUGCCUGCGCCAAGAGCAACUGCACGAUAGCCGUCGCCUUCCUGGCCAUGCUGGGCAUGGCCGUGUGCGCGGAGGUCAAGGCCGACGCGGAGGAAGAAGCCCAGAUCAUCCGCGUGGUAGUAGCAAGCAGCCAGAGCCGCCAUUUGUCAUUUGUGUGUGUUGUAGCUAAGUAG